GUGGCGCAUCCCUCGGUACCUCUCUCUGCCUGCGCACCAUAAACACCCAGACUACAGGGCCAUACCUGUCUCUUCUUGGUCUCCCCAGCAUCCUGCAGAUUAGUGGCCCUUCAGACACUUUGCACCCCAGUAGGGGGUGGGGAGGCUGGUGGAAAGUGAGCCCUGUGGCUCCUGGAGAAGCGGCGAGCAGCAGGCAGUGUUACACAAGGGUCCUCCCAACCCAGCUGACCUCACCAGGUCAUUCAUGCAAGAAUGCGGGGCCAAUGGGUUUCUGCCAGGCGUGCCAGGGCUGAGGGCACCCCUGGGUCCUCACAGCCCCCACUGUCCAGGGACAGCAGAGUCCUCCUUCCCUUUGCCAUUUCCAUGUUUCUCAUUUCAAUAAUUCUUGCAGCCCAUGUUGUGUAAAUAAAAUUAUUCUUCCCAAAAAAAUCGUUAGCAG
rnacentral:lncRNA from 1 species